UACGUAGGGUGCAAGCGUUAAUCGGAAUUACUGGGCGUAAAGCGUGCGCAGGCGGUUGUGUAAGACAGAUGUGAAAUCCCCGGGCUCAACCUGGGAACUGUAUUUGUGACUGCACAGCUGGAGUGCGGCAGAGGGGGAUGGAAUUCCGCGUGUAGCAGUGAAAUGCGUAGAUAUGCGGAGGAACACCGAUGGCGAAGGCAAUCCCCUGGGCCUGCACUGACGCUCAUGCACGAAAGCGUGGGGAGCAAACAGG
rnacentral:rRNA from 1 species